rnacentral:rRNA from 1 species
UACGUAGGUGGCAAGCGUUGUCCGGAUUUACUGGGCGUAAAGAGCGCGCAGGCGGCCGGAUAAGUCGAAUGUGAAAGCCCCCGGCUCAACUGGGGAGGGUCAUUCGAUACUGUUCGACUCGAAGGCAGGAGAGGGAAGUGGAAUUCCCGGUGUAGUGGUGAAAUGCGUAGAUAUCGGGAGGAACACCAGUGGCGAAGGCGACUUCCUGGCCUGUUCUUGACGCUGAGGCGCGAAAGCUAGGGGAGCAAACGGG